AUUGAACGCUGGCGGCAGGCCUAACACAUGCAAGUCGAACGAGUGGCGGACGGGUGAGUAAUGUCUGGGAAACUGCCUGAUGGAGGGGGAUAACUACUGGAAACGGUAGCUAAUACCGCAUACCAUCGGAUGUGCCCAGAUGGGAUUAGCUAGUAGGUGGGGUAAAGUCCCACCUAGGCGACGAUCCCUAGCUGGUCUGAGAGGAUGACCAGCCAACAUCGAACUGAUACACGGGGCAGACGCCUAGGGGAGCCAGCAGUGGGGAAUAUUGGACAGUGGUCGCAAGCCUGAUGCAGCGAUGCCGCGUGUAUGAAGACGGCCUUCAGGUUGUAAAGUACUUUCAGCGGUGAGGCGGUCCCCGCAGAAGAAGCACCGGCUAACUCCGUGCCAGCAGCCGCUGUAAUUC
rnacentral:rRNA from 1 species